AUUGAACGCUGGCGGCAUGCUUUACACAUGCAAGUCGAACGGCAGCACGGACUUCGGUCUGGUGGCGAGUGGCGAACGGGUGAGUAAUACAUCGGAACGUGCCCAGUUGUGGGGGAUAACUACUCGAAAGAGUAGCUAAUACCGCAUGAGAACUGAGGUUGAAAGCAGGGGAUCGUAAGACCUUGCGCAACUGGAGCGGCCGAUGGCAGAUUAGGUAGUUGGUGGGAUAAAAGCUUACCAAGCCGACGAUCUGUAGCUGGUCUGAGAGGACGACCAGCCACACUGGGACUGAGACACGGCCCAGACUCCUACGGGAGGCAGCAGUGGGGAAUUUUGGACAAUGGGCGAAAGCCUGAUCCAGCAAUGCCGCGCGCAGGAUGAAGGCCUUCGGGUUGUAAACUGCUUUUGUACGGAACGAAAAGCUUCGGGCUAAUACCCUGGAGUCAUGACGGUACCGUAAGAAUAAACACCGGCUAACUACGUGCCAGCCGCCGCGGUAAUAC
rnacentral:rRNA from 1 species